rnacentral:piRNA from 1 species
UUCCACCUUUAAACUGGACUGCAUUGGAAA